rnacentral:rRNA from 1 species
UACGUAGGGUGCGAGCGUUAAUCGGAAUUACUGGGCGUAAAGCGUGCGCAGGCGGUUCGUUGUGUCGGCGGUGAAAUCCCCGGGCUUAACUCGGGAACUGCGUCUGAUACUGGAAGGCUGGAGUUCGGGAGAGGAAUGUGGAAUUCCAGGUGUAGCGGUGAAAUGCGUAGAUAUCUGGAGGAACACCGGUGGCGAAGGCGGCAUUCUGGACCGAAACUGACGCUGAGGAGCGAAAGCGUGGGGAGCGAACAGG